GGCCCGGUAGCUCAGUGGUAGAGCGACAGAUUGCAGAUCUGAAGGUCUCGCGUUCGAUUCGCGAUCGGGCCU